GGUAUCGUGGUGUAGUUAGUUAUCACACCAGUCUAACACACAGGUGGUCCCCGGUUCGAGCCCUGGAAAAAAAUCA